CCGUGAACUAUGACUUUCAGUUAAUAUUAAUUAUCAAGGUGGGAAACACGUCGUAAAGCCACGGUGUCAGGUGUUGUGGUAUUUAUACAGAACUAGCGGGAUCCGUGGAUAUACCACAGUGCCCACUCAAAGCGAGAGAAUUCUGCGUAUCUACAGGUGCAUGUACUAGUAUCGCGAACAUGACGCUGAAUUCUUUAAAUAUCUCCAGUGGCACACAAAGGCACGUCUAGACGAAGGGACGUCUACAUGAGGGCACACUGACAGGCUGAGUACAUGAUUCAUACUCACUUAUCACUCUACGCUGGAUGCAUCGUGACACAAGACGUGCUCUCAAGUGUAAAAUAUUAAUCACUUUAUCUACAAUUAAACUUCCACAACACGAGCCUAAACUCAGGACAAACCCAGUGUGGCGUCACAUUUCUUUUCUUUUCUUUUUUUUUUUUUUUCACGUGGAGUGGAAAACGUGGAGGCCGACUUACCUGCAAGCCCGCCUCGCGCCCCGCCCCGCCGAGAGCGUGUGUCAGGCCGCUGGGAACAGGGACGCGGGACCUGCCCGUCGUAACUACCAAAUCACCUCUGACACCAUCCACACCGAGCACAUGUAGCGUCGCCGGCUGCUGGUGGUGCUGCCCGCGCACCACUCCGUCACUUUGUGGUGUGUGCUCCACCUCCUGCCUGACACUCUUCCCUCGUGCUUUAGUGAUUCACAGUAAGUGUCGAAUACUUUUUACACGUUAAGGAGUAAUUAUGAAAAUGACAAGUGUAAACACGUGAGGCAGGGAGGUGUGGGUGAGUGGCAGCGUCUGGCUACCCUCGGCUAGCUCCGCCCGUCUGUUCCGCUGCGUCCCGCCUCCUGCCUUCGUCCCACUGGAGGAAGCUGACCACGGCACAAGUGACAGAUAAAUACAAGUACGCCUUAUUGUUACUUAUUUAUCUACUCAUCACCUUAACAAGGAUCACCCGAGUACUGGCAGAGGCAAACAGAGAAGGUGACCACACAGGAGCCAAGUGAGACAAGGGAGAAGCGAGUGACAUGCGUGCCUUCCCCUUCAUCUCCUUUACAUCUCGAGGAAGAGAAGGAAAAGCCUCAUGUCACGCUGGACCAUUGCUGACAGUCCUGGAUGAGUUUCUUAAAAAAAAAACCUCCGUGUCUCUGCCGACAGAGCGGCGGCGACAGGCAGCUGGUGUCUCACGCCCGACUGACCCAUCCCGAGGAACCGUCAGAAGUGAGAAGUAAUUACAAGUGAGUUAAGCAGCCGAAGAGGAUGAAAUAUAAUAUAAAAGAAGGACUUUAAGAUAUUUCUUUCAUUUAUCGU